AUGCUCGAGAGAGAGACAUACCGACUUUCAGACCUGACGACCCGACCACAACUUACGAUUCCGGCCACUUGGACUCCAGAGACUACCAUUGCUCGACUCUUCUCCGCGACGUCGAUGUCUUCCUGGCGGCAGAUCUUCUGAUCGGUGACGGACGAGGACCCGAAGCUCGAAAGCUUUGAGCUUUCCGGCAUAGUUCCAGCACUUCCUGGCCACCGAAUCAUCUGCAUGUGGGUAUGAAACUUUACCUUCUCAUCGUGCUCUACAUCAUAGUAUAAUUAGUUUUUGGCUUCAGUUGGGUUUUAACCAAAUUGAUAUUUUGGGUUGUUCGCCUUUUACGAGUUCUUCGACGGCGGUGACCUUCCACCGUUCCUAGGUUUUAUCUCUUACCGUUCUUGGGUUGGUUUCUAUCUCGUGAGCAUAUGUGGAUGGGAGUUGACCUCAAUAAAAGAGGAAGCCGUGUUAGUCAAGUUCUAGCACAGAGGAAUUGAGCAGCAGCUGACCUUGAAGUCUUGAACCGAUUCAUUCGAUAGAAAACCUGAAGUUGAUUUGGAGAAGGAUUGUACAAAAGAAGGUCAAAGGAAGAAUCAUUCAGUAGCUUUGUUAUUCGUUUGGG